rnacentral:hammerhead_ribozyme from 1 species
ACCCAGAUGACGAGUCCCGAAUGGGACGAAACGCGUGACUUGGAU